GACGUAGGGCGCGAGCGUUGUCCGGAUUUAUUGGGCGUAAAGAGCUCGUAGGCGGCUUGUCGCGUCGUCCGUGAAAACCUGCAGCUCAACUGCAGGCUUGCGGUCGAUACGGGCAGGCUGGAGUUCGGUAGGGGAGACUGGAAUUCCUGGUGUAGCGGUGAAAUGCGCAGAUAUCUGCAGGAACACCCGUGGCGAAAGCGGCGCGCUGGACCACUACUGACGCUGAGGAACGAAAGCUAGGGGAGCAAACAGG
rnacentral:rRNA from 1 species